CGGGGGGUCCUAGCGUUGUUCGGAAUUAUUGGGCGUAAAGCGUGUGCAGGUUGUUUGAAAAGUUGGAUGUGAAAUCCUUGGGCUUAACCCAAGACGUGCAUUCAAAACUGUCAGACUUGAGUAUGGAAGAGGAUCGUGGAAUUCCUAGUGUAGUGGUGAAAUACGUAGAUAUUAGGAGGAACACCGGUGGCGAAGGCGGCGAUCUGGUCCAAUACUGACACUCAUACACGAAAGCGUGGGGAUCAAACAGGAUUAGAUACCCUGGUAGUCCACGCUGUAAACGAUGGAUACUUGAUGUUGAAGGUAUUGACCCCUUCAGUGUCGAAGCUAACGCGUUAAGUAUCCCGCCUGGGGAGUACGGUCGCAAGAUUA
rnacentral:rRNA from 1 species